rnacentral:lncRNA from 10 species
CCCGAACGUGCCGCGCGAGCCGCGGUGCCCCCUCCUCUUUGCUGCUGCAGUGUCUGCGCCGGGCCAUUUAAUGAGAUUUAUUCACGCACGGCUCUUCUCAGCUUUGCGAGGGGUUGGCAGAUCCAGUGCACAGGGAUUUCCCACUACCGUGUUUUUCUCCCGCCCCCUUCCUUCCCUCUCGUCCUAAUACAUCCUUCGUUGGUUUCCUCGGCCCCGCAGGCUGCGUCCCGGGCACGCGCAAGUACAUGUAAGGACUUGUCAGCUGCCGGUGACCUCCCUCCUCCCUCGUCGCUCCUCCCCCAGCGGAAUGUAGGAUUAACAGUCUUUCCGAGAAAAUUUUGGCCAAAGAAAAAGGCCUGUGAAAGUCACCGCGUUAGACGUGGCCUCCUCGUGUUUUUCACUAACACGUUAUGGAAGGUUUUACUACCCGAAGGCAUAAAAGCACCACCGUGGGGAAGGGCCGUUUUGAAUAAACAACUUUAUUCAAAAAUCGAGAGGGGGUGAAGCGAUGCAGUUAGGGAAUUUUUGUUUUAAAGAGUAGUAACAUGCAGCUGGCUUGGCUAUUAAAUUGGAAACAAGGGGUUCCUCUCUGACUUGGCCACUGAUAUUGGGCGUGACCUUGGACAAAUAAUUUUGUUUCUUUGGGCUCAGUUUCUACAUAUGUAAAACGGGAAGGUUUCUCUUAAAAACUAAUCCUGAAGGGUUUCUUCUCAACAAAAAGAUGCAAGCUGUAGGAGGCAGAAAGCGUGGGUUCAAGUUCGAAAUUUGCCCCUGAAUUAGGACCCUUGACACAUUUCUAACCCAUCCAAGUAGAGAUCGUUCUUUUACAUUUGUGUGUUAUACAGGUGCAUUUUAGUGGUUACCAGGUUGCCACGUAUUUGAAGUGGUGUGAGAGCUACUCGUUUGGAACCGUUGUGGAUUUUCAAAUAGGAAAAUCAAAAGGCCCAAAGAGACAGCUCACUGUAUUCCCACGAGCAUUCUGCUGAGAUGAACAAUCAGAUGACCUCGUGUGAGAUUUGGAGGAGAGAAGGAAAUGGAGAGCAUGCGUCUGCCGCUUCUGUGGUUUCUGUCGGUAAGCACAGUGAUGAGGUGCUGAGUUUUCCCCAGAAGGCCUCCCAGUGUCCUAUUACCAGCUUCACAAGCGUCGAGGGCAGGGCAUGGGCAUCUAUUGUUCACCAGUGGAGAUCUAUCU